ensembl:lncRNA
GUGAGAUCACCGUGCAGAUCGUAAAUUGUGUUUGUUUCCGCACAGCAUUUCUGAGAGCUGGCUCAAUGAGUCUUCUGAGCAGAAUCCUGAUAUGACAGCUGCCUACAAAACAAUUGCCAAGUCUGGGAUUGAAUGAUUAAUUGAAAUAGUCACAAGUAAAGGUAUUUUUGCCAUAAAAGGUUCUAAUACUUCUCACAUUGAGCUAAUGACUAUAAGUUAGAUUCAGUCCUUUGAUCUCCACCUAACCGUGGGAUAAGAAGUAAAAAGAGAGCACCAUCAUGGGAGCUCCAGGCUGGGGCUCUGUAAUCAGUGUUGUAUUUUUCGGAGAAGGCAAUGGCACCCCACUCCAGUACUCUUGCGGAAAAUCCCACGGACGGAGGAGCCUGGUAGGCUGCAGUCCAUGGGGUUGCGAAGUUGGACACGACUGAGCGACUUCACUUUCACUUUUCACUUUUCACUUUCACGCAUUGGAGAAGGAAAUGGCAACCCACCCUAAAAGCUCUGUGUUUCUCAGUUUUCUUACUUAUUAAGCAGGGAGUUAUUUAUGGAUGUGAGAGUUGGACCAUAAAGAAAGCUGAAUGCCGAAGAAUUGAUGUUUUUGAACUGAGGUGUUGGAGAAGACUUUGAGAGUACCUUGAAAUACAAGAUCAAACCAGUCAAUCCUAAAGGAAAUCAGUCCUGACUAUUCACUGGAAGGACUGAUGCUGAAACUCCGAUACUUUGGCCACCUGAUGGGAAGACCUGACUCACUGGAAAAGACCGUAAUGGUGGGAAAGAUUGAAGGCAGGAGGAGAAGGGGAUGACAGAGGAUGAGAUGGUUGGAUGACAUCACCGACUUGAUGGACAUAAGUUUGAGCAAGCUCUGGGAGUAGGUGAUGAACAGGGAAGCCUGACGUGCUGCAGUCCAUGGGGUCACAAAGAGUGAGACAUGACUGAGCGACUGAACUAAACUGAGACUUUAACUUACCAUGGUCACAUGAGGAAAAGCCAAGUGGAAAGCAGAUCAUCCAGACCAACCUACUGAAAUGGUAAACAUCAGGAUGGAAAUAAACAAUACUACAGAAGAAUCAGCAAGUAAUUACUGCCUUUAUUUUCUUUCUCUGGAAUCCUUCAAACCCAAGUUCCAAGGGGUAGCUGGGGAACUAAAAUCCCUGUAUCAGAAGUAUUAUGGGUUCCAGACCACUGCAAUAAGUUGAAUAUCACAAUGAAGUAAGUCACAUGUAUUUUUUGGUUUCCCAAUGCAAUAAAAGUUAUUUACACUACACUGAAGUCUAAUUAAAUGUACAAUAGCAUUAUGUCAAAAAACACCAAUGUAUAUUUUCAAUUUAAAAAUAUCUGAUUCCUAAAAAUUCUAACCAUCAUCUGAGCCUUCAGUAACUUGUAUUGUGCUUAGUCGCUCAGUCAUGUCCAACUCUUCAUGACCCCAUGGACUGAAAUCCACCAGGCUUCUCUUUCCAUGGGGAUUCUCCAGGCAAGAAUACUGGAGUGGGUUGCCAUGCCCUCCUCCAGGAAAUUGUAGUAGAAACAUCAGAGCUCACCGAUCACCAUAAACAUUUGAUAAUAUUGAAAAAGUUUAAAUAUUGCAAGAGCUACUAAAAUGUGACAUACACACAGGCCAGGAAAUAAGCAAAUGCUGUUGGAAAAAUAGUGCCAAUAGACUUGCUCAACACAGGGUUGCCACACACCUUCAAUUUGUAAAGCUUCAGUAUUGGAGAAGUGCAAUAAAACAAGGAUUGCCUGUGGUAAGUUGUUCUGCCUCACCUUCCUUGACCACAGGUGUCUGCCACCAAAUAGUUCUAAAUCUACUUGUCGAUGUUAAUAUUCCUAUAAAGUUCAAGAGUCAGAAUGUUUAAGUAAAGGUGAUUUUUUUUUAGUUUAAUGCUUUCACCAUAAUGGAACUUAGGCAGUGAACAAUAAAACCUCAUAAUCAGGAGAACUGAAUCCUCUGCUUGGAUGAGUCAUGAACAAAAUUUCAAAUAUGAGUAGAUAAGCUGAUAUCCAGACAGUCUGACUCUAGAGCCCAUACUCCCAACCAGAGCUUGAACUCUGUUUUAGACCCUUGUGAAGAUAAUACAUGUGAAAGUGAUUGGGAAACUUUAAAAGCAUUCUGCACAUAUAGAUCCUAUUAUCCUUUUCUCCCCGCCUAUUUCAGAGAUCAGUCAGGAACAUCUGGACACCACUUACUCUCUGAACACCCUGUUAAAGAUUCCUUUCUAAAGAAGCUGUGUGUGUGUGUGUGUGUGUGUGUGCGCACGCCCCCAUAUAUGUGUGUAAAAUACUGGUUGCUUUAGAUGGAUUUGUUGAGCCUGUUUAGAAAAUGUUUUUCUUUUCUAAGCACGCAUUGGCCUGUUGUCACUAGAUGGCAGAAACAGAUCCUACUUCUGUGGGAAAAUGAGAGUUCGUUUUGCAUUCGAGGAGGGCACAAAAAAGCUUCCCACAGACAAUGUUUACAGGCUUUCUUUAUUUUGACAUUUCUUCUGAAUACAUUAAUGUUUUGGAAAUUCCCUGUUAGGUCCCCUGCAGGGGUAUGCUGCAAAGUGAUCUUGGCUUACACAGAAGAAGGAUGGUUUGCAUUAUGCACUUUGUAUUUCAGUUUAUAAUUUUAGAAUUGAAUACUACUUUAUUUAAGGUGGGGGGGCAGUGUGGGAAGGGGGUGGAGUUACAGACUAAGAGAAAUCAAGAUGCUGUCUUACAAUACUAAAGCGCCGCUACCAGAAUAUUUUCUCUGAGCCAGAGAUGCCUUCAUUAUAAUUCAUUCUCUUUAGAAUAAGGGAAUUGACAGUCGAGGUGUCAAAUAUAAAUAUAUUUUAAAAUUCUCUAUGUGAAUUUCUGUAUGGGUGAGAGAAUGAUUUUUUUCUUUGCCUUUUCUACAAAGUAGUUAUUGCUUCAGAGUGCUGUUAGUUUCUUAUAAAAUUAAAUGAUUGAGGCAGUAUUUAUUUUAAAAGCCAAGCUGAUGCUCUAGAGGCUGUACAAACAAUGUUUUACUAUCCAACCAUUGAUCUUUAAUUGCUCACAUACCAAUUAUGACCUUCCUUUAAAACUCCCAAAUAGAAUUGUCUUAAUUCAAAGAAAGCCAUUACAGCAUCUUGAGGCUGAAAUUAUGGAUUAAAGGUUAUGCCCUAUACAUUUGUUCUCAUGUAUCUUUGAAAACAUUUUACAACAUAAUGUUAUAUUAAAAAUAGUUUUGUUCCUCU